rnacentral:rRNA from 1 species
GCUUGUCUCAAAGAUUAAGCCAUGCACGUCUGAGAAUAAAGAGUUUUCUCUGAAUCUGCGAAUGGCUCAUUAUAUCAGUUAUAGUUUAUUUGAUAGUCUCUGCUAUUUGGAUAACCGUAGUAAUUCUAGAGCUAAUACAUGCACCAAGCGCGCUUUUACGAGCGCGUGUAUUUAUUAGAUACAAUCAACCCUUCGGGUUUUGAUGAGUCAUAAUAACUGAACUAAGCGCAUGCUUUGGCGGCGCUGUUUCAUUCAAGUUUCUGCCCUAUCAGCUUUCGAUGGUAGGGUAUUGGCCUACCAUGGCGUUCACGGGUAACGGAGAAUUAGGGUUCGAUUCCGGAGAGGGAGCCUGAGAGAUGGCUACCACAUCCAAGGAAGGCAGCAGG